GACGAACGCUGGCGGCGUGCUUAACACAUGCAAGUCGAGCGGUAAGGCCCUUUCGGGGGUACACGAGCGGCGAACGGGUGAGUAAUACGUGGGUGACCUGCCCUCAGCUCUGGGAUAAGCCCGGGAAACUGGGUCUAAUACUGGAUAUUACUCUGCGGUGCAUGCCGUGGGGUGGAAAGCCUUGUGCGGCUGGGGAUGGGCCCGCGGCCUAUCAGCUUGUUGGUGGGGUGAUGGCCACCAAGGCGACGACGGGUAGCCGGCCUGAGAGGGCGACCGGCCACACUGGGACUGAGACACGGCCCAGACUCCUACGGGAGGCAGCAGUGGGGAAUCUUGCGCAAUGGGCGAAAGCCUGACGCAGCGACGCCGCGUGAGGGAUGACGGCCU
rnacentral:rRNA from 1 species